UACAGAGGGGGCAAGCGUUGUUCGGAAUUACUGGGCGUAAAGGGCGCGUAGGCGGCCUUGUAAGUCGGACGUGAAAUCCCCGGGCUCAACCCGGGAACUGCGUCCGAUACUGGAAGGCUUGAAUCCGGGAGAGGGAUGUGGAAUUCCAGGUGUAGCGGUGAAAUGCGUAGAUAUCUGGAGGAACACCGGUGGCGAAGGCGACACCCUGGACCGGUAUUGACGCUGAGGCGCGAAAGCCAGGGGAGCAAACGGG
rnacentral:rRNA from 1 species